rnacentral:lncRNA from 1 species
UUUCUUCAUAAAAUUGUGGCUAAAAUGGAUUGUCCCCCAUCCACCAUGUGGCGCGAGUGUCUUCGCGAGGACGAAAUAUUUGCCAUUUGUUUCCGAGACGCUGACUGAUAGUGUAUUCCAAAUUCAUCACGGAAUUACGGUGUCGAUCUUCGUUUUCACUUUUCAGCCAUUUAAUGUAAUGGGCAAUCUGGCAUAUAAUUACACUUGGCCAAACGUGAUGACGUGGGUCGAAAGUCGAAACUGCUGUCCAUUUUGUCGAAAUGUCGGCCAUUGUUAGAUGUACGUCUCAUCUCGUUCAGAAACACUUCAGAAAUCAGAACUAAUUAAGCCCUCACCACAGUUAUAGUUGUUUGGAAACCCGGAACUGAAGAGAGAUUGUUGAAAUUGAAGACUGACAAUUUAAGUAAAUGUAGCGCCAGUGUCUUCAGGAACGCUUAGCGGCCAUUUUGAUCCAAGACGCAGCAGAAGUUGGUUGUGACGUUUCUCACGAUGAAAAUUAAAAGGUAAUUUAGCACGUAGAAACCAAUUUGCCAAAUCAUUCAACUCAGACUUGGGAAGUGCCUGUACAUUUCCGAAAUGGCGUGCCUCGUGUGUCUCGCUGCCUGUUCUUUGGCUUACGUCUCACCCCAUUCAACAGGAAAAAGUAAAACAAACGCUGGUGGUUACCUUGUUGCAGCCAAAUGGUGAAAGUGUGACAAAGACAGAUUGAACCUUUGUAUGCAGCAUGCGGUUGCAGUGUAAUCCAGAAGUUGCUGUGCUGUUGUAGCUGAGCUGUGACAUCUGGGUUCCUGACUUAAACAUUCUUGUGUUUGUGUUUUCAUCCAUGCUAUUUGAAAUUGCU